CGAGCGAGCGCNCGCUGUGUGUGUGAAGAUUGGNACGGGAUGGGCUCGCGGCCUAUCAGCUUGUUGGUGAGGUAAUGGCUCACCAAGGCGACGACGGGUAGCCGGCCUGAGAGGGCGACCGGCCACACUGGGACUGAGACACGGCCCAGACUCCUACGGGAGGCAGCAGUGGGGAAUAUUGCACAAUGGGCGAAAGCCUGAUGCAGCGACGCCGCGUGAGGGAUGACGGCCUUCGGGUUGUAAACCUCUUUCAGCUCCGAAGAAGCGAAAGUGACGGUAGGAGCAGAAGAAGCACCGGCUAACUACGUGCCAGCAGCCGCGGUAAUACGUAGGGUGCAAGCGUUGUCCGGAAUUAUUGGGCGUAAAGAGCUCGUAGGUGGUUCGUCGCGUCUGCUGUGAAAGUCCGAGGCUUAACCUCGGAUCUGCAGUGGGUACGGGCGGACUAGAGUGCGGUAGAGGAGAUCGGAAUUCCUGGUGUAGCGGUGGAAUGCGCAGAUAUCAGGAGGAACACC
rnacentral:rRNA from 1 species